rnacentral:rRNA from 1 species
GACAGAGGGUGCAAACGUUGCUCGGAAUUACUGGGCGUAAAGCGCGUGUAGGCGGAUGAGCAAGUCUGCUGUGAAAGCUCCUGGCUUAACCGGGAGUGGUCGGUGGAAACUGCUCGUCUGGAGGACGGUAGAGGUAGGUAGAAUUCCCGGUGUAGUGGUGAAAUGCGUAGAGAUCGGGAGGAAUACCUGUGGCGAAGGCGGCCUACUGGGCCGGACCUGACGCUGAGACGCGAAGGCGUGGGGAGCGAACGGG